GCCGCUUAUAAAUUACCGCUUCCUUCGCGCCGCCGCCAACGCCGAGCCCCGAGGACCGCAAGCCCAGAGGACAAGCUGCGCCAAGAGGGAGUGCGGAGCGUUCACCCAGCGGGUCAGAGAGCGAGCGGGCAGGCAGCCCCCGGCCGGCGGAACCCGGCACAGCCGAGCAGAGCGCGGGCGGCGCCGCAGCCACCCCAGAUCCAGAACCAGAACCACAGCCCUUCUGAGGAGCUCCCAAACGUAAGUGACCUUGGACCUCCAGGUGGGAUGGGUGUCUCACACGUUGUGCAGUGACCCAAGGUGGGGGGCUCAGGAGCUCCGUGUCUCCCCCAGGCUCUAGGAGGACAAGACGGGACCCCUGAGGCCCACAGACCUUGUCCACACCUCACCUCCAGGUGGCAGAUCCCCUGGCCUGGCUUGGCCACUCUGUGCCUGCUUGGUCCCCAGCCAGUCUGUGCCAGAGGGCACAGGGACGCCCUGCAAAUGGGCCAAGCACUGGUUUUGGAGAUCCAGCCUGUGCCCUGUCCUGGCUCUGCUGCAGAGUAGCCUGGGGCAAGUCUGCCGUGGGGAGGAUGCCCUCACUGAGUUGAUUCUGAGGAUUGGGGUCUGAGCUUGGCUCUGUCUCUGUUAAAGGUUUGUUUUUGUUUUGAGACAGGGUCACACUCUGUCGCCUACGCUGGGGUGCAGUGGUGUCAUCAGGGCUCACUGCAGCCUCGAUCUCCCCAGGUUCAGGUGAUCCUCCCACCCCAGCCUCCCUAGCAGCUGGCACUACAGGCGCGUGCCGCCGUGCCCAGCUUAUUUUUGUAUUUUUUGGAGUAACGGGGUUUCACGAUGUUGUCAAGGGCACAGUGGCUCACGCCUCCAAUCCCUGCACUUUGGGAGGCCAAGGCAGGAGGAUUGCUUGAGGCCAGGAGCUCGAGACCAGCGUGGGCAACAUAAUGAGCCCCAUCUCAGCAAAAAUUAAAAAUAAUAUAAAUAAAAUUAUAAAUAAACAAGUAAAAUGGAAAACCUUUGCUAAAGUUGCAAGAGUAUUACAGUGGCCUCGCAUUAUGCCCUUCGUUGAGAUUUUCCCAUGGGUAACAUUUGCCACAUUCGCUUCAUCUCUUUCUCACUAAUAUGUUAAAUAAAAACAGUCACGUGAACAUUCUUCCAUUUUUGCUGAAUCAUUGGGGAGUAAAUUGCAGGCAUGAUGCCCCUUCACCUCAAUCCUUCAGGCCUUUCAUAAGAGCAAGGCCAGGCCGGGCGCCGUGGCUCACGCCUGGGAUCCCAGCACUUUGGGAGGCCAAGGUGGGCAGAUCACGAGGUCAGGAGAUCGAGACCAUCCUGGCUAACACGGUGAAACCCUGUCUCUACUAAAAAACACAAAAAAUUAGCCAGACGUGGUGGCGGGCGCCUGUAGUUCCAGCUACUCGGGAGGCUGAGGCAGGAGAAUGGCGUGAACCCGGGGGAUGGAGCUUGCAGCGAGCCGCGAUCGUGCCACUGCACUCCAGCCUGGGCGACGCAGCGAGACUCCGUCUC
rnacentral:lncRNA from 1 species